rnacentral:rRNA from 1 species
ACCUCAAAUCGGGUAGGACUACCCGCUGAACUUAAGCAUAUCAAUAAGCGGAGGAAAAGAAACUAACAAGGAUUCCCCUAGUAACUGCGAGUGAAGAGGGAUAAGCUCAAAUUUAAAAUCUGGCGGUCUUUNGGCCGUCCGAGUUGUAAUUUAGAGAAGUGUUACCCGCGCUGGACCGUGUACAAGUCUCCUCGAACGGAGCAUCAUAGAGGGUGAGAAUCCCGUACAUGACACGGACUGCCAGGGCUUUGUGGUGCGCUCUCGACGAGUCGAGUUGUUUGGGAAUGCAGCUCAAAAUGGGUGGUAAAUUCCAUCUAAAGCUAAAUACAGGCGAGAGACCGAUAGCGAACAAGUACCGUGAGGGAAAGAUGAAAAGAACUUUGGAAAGAGAGUUAAACAGUACGUGAAAUUGUUGAAAGGGAAACGCUUGAAGUCAGUCGCGUCCUUCAAAGAUCAACCUGGCCUUUUCGCUUGGUGCACUCUUUGGAGGACGGGUCAGCAUCAGUUUCGACCGGGAGAAAAAGUUGGUGGGGAGGUGGCACCUUCGGGUGUGUUAUAACCCNCNUGCAUAUAUCNUGGUUGGGACUGAGGAACGCGGCACGCCGAAAGGCCGGACNU